UACGAAGGGAGCUAGCGUUGUUCGGAAUCAUGCUAGGGCGUAAAGCGCACGGUUAGGCGGAUUCGGUAAGUACAGGGUGAAAUCCCGGGGCUCAACCUCGGACUGCCUUUGAUACUGCGGGUCUUGAGUCCGAUAGAGGUGAGUGGAACUCCUAGUGUAGAGGUGGAAAUUCGUAGAUAUUAGGAAGAACACCAGUGGCGAAGGC
rnacentral:rRNA from 1 species